rnacentral:rRNA from 1 species
CUUGGUCAUUUAGAGGAUGUAAAAGUCGUAACAAGGUCUCCGUUGGUGAACCAGCGGAGGGAUCAUUAUAGAGUUUUCUAAACUCCCGACCCAUGUGAACUUACCAUUGUUGCCUCGGCAGAAGCUGCUCGGCGCCUCUUACCUUGGAACGGCCUACCCUGUAGCGCCUUACCCUGGAACGGCUUACCCUGCAACGGCUGCCGGUGGACUACCAAACUCUUGUUAUUUUAUGGUUAUCUGAGCGUCUUAUUUUAAUAAGUCAAAACUUUCAACAACGGAUCUCUUGGUUCUGGUAUCGAUGAAGAACGCAGCGAAAUGCGAUAAGUAAUGUGAAUUGCAGAAUUCAGUGAAUCAUCGAAUCUUUGAACGCACAUUGCGCCCAUUAGUAUUCUAGUGGGCAUGCCUGUUCGAGCGUCAUUUCAACCCUUAAGCCUAGCUUAGUGUUGGGAGCCUACUGCUUUUGCUAGCUGUAGCUCCUGAAAUACAACGGCGGAUCUGCGAUAUCCUCUGAGCGUAGUAAUUUUUAUCUCGCUUUUGACUGGAGUUGCAGCGUCUUUAGCCGCUAAACCCCCCAAUUUUUAAUGGUUGACCUCGGAUCAGGUAGGAAUACCCGCUGAACUUAAGCAUAUCAAUAAGCGGAGGA